AUUGAACGCUGGCGGAAUGCUUUACACAUGCAAGUCGAACGGCAGCACGGACUUCGGUCUGGUGGCGAGUGGCGAACGGGUGAGUAAUGUAUCGGAACGUGCCCAGUCGUGGGGGAUAACGUAGUGAAAAUUACGCUAAUACCGCAUACGAUCUAUGGAUGAAAGCGGGGGAUCGCAAGACCUCGCGCGAUCGGAGCGGCCGAUAUCAGAUUAGGUAGUUGGUGGGGUAAAGGCCCACCAAGCCAACGAUCUGUAGCUGGUCUGAGAGGACGACCAGCCAAACUGGAACUGAGACACGGUCCAGACUCCUACGGGAGGCAGCAGUGGGGAAUUUUGGACAAUGGGCGAAAGCCUGAUCCAGCCAUUCCGCGUGCAGGAUGAAGGCCCUCGGGUUGUAAACUGCUUUUGUACAGAACGGAAAGGUUUCUACUAAUACUAGGAGCUCAUGACGGUACUGUAAGAAUAAGCACCGGCUAACUACGUGCCAGCCGCCGCCGUAA
rnacentral:rRNA from 1 species